AAGAAGAAACCAAAAAUAUUCAGAACAUUCAGCAUACAUUAUUGCUACUCAGCUAAUCGCAUUUUCGCGCUGAUGAAUUAAGACCGGAAGUUAAUUACAUGAGGCGAUGCCAUCACCAAUCCCUCUGUAAUUUGCUUCCUCAGCAACUCCUGCUCCUCGACGGUCUGCGGAUACUUUGACGGAGCAACCUUGAUUUUGGGAUCCAACUCUUCACAGCAAUCUUCCACCUUCCGGUCGUACAGGGAUAUCUCCUCUAUGUUAACCGCGGUUUCCAUGAUGUGCCUGAUGUAUCCCAAAAAGUUGUCAUCAGGUUGGAAACCGUAGAUGGUGAGCUUAACCAGAUUGCAAUGCCUGAAACCAUCAGGUGAAGAUGACUCCCACUGCACGUUUGUUUUGUCACAGUAACCCUCUUCUUCCCGUUCCACCUUGUCCGUCACAAUAUUACACCAAUGGUCCCAAAUUGUGAUGCAUAGCUCCUUCAGGAAGGGUGCAGCUUCAAGAAAGAAGCGUGUUAUCACAUCCUUCACGGAGAUCAUCCAGAGUCAAAACUUGCAGAUUCUGGAGAACAGGCGCCAGCAGUUUCGGGCACUCUGGCUGAACCCAAAUCUUUUCACUUUUGAGGUUGAGAUGCAGGUCUCUUAUGGAGGUUACAUUAGAAAGAAACUGACUUAAUCUGAUAAGGUUGUGCAAUCUCAGACCUACAUUAGUGAGGCUUAGGCUUGACAGCUGCGGAACAUUGCCAAAAUACAAGGGUUCUUGGGGAUGUCUCCAACUAUUAAAGACCAGCCGUUCGAGUUUCGGUAGAGAAUUGAGCUUGACUAGUUUUAAACAUCCGUGGCAGAUAUCAAGCUCAACAAGCCGCUGGUGUUCCACCUGCAGCUGCAACACAGUACCCUCUGUUUGACACAUGAACAUACGCAGAGACUCUAAUCGUUUGCAUGUGGCAAUAAUAUUGGGAAUGUCAGUUUCAGCAAGCCUCAAGUUCUGUAAGUAGAGUCUUGUAAGCCCAGCAAAGGCAUCAGUACAAGCACCAAAAAAGGUCAUGAGCCGUUUCCCAUUGUUGCGGAGACCAUAAAAAGUGUAAUAAUGUAGCUUAUAAUCUGUCAGAAUUCUGAACUCAGCGCUGUCAAGCUUGUGGGUUGCCAUGGCUCGGGCAACAGCUUUGCCGAUGGUGAGACAAUCGUAGUAUUUUAAGUAGAAACAUAUGCUGAGUUGGCGAAGAGGGAUCUCUUUGGCUCUGAAAUUGAGAACAUUGUCCGUUGCAUCGGCCACGGCGGCGUUCAUCACGAUAACGGAUGGUAAAACGUUGGACACGGAAACCAGGGUUUGUCUUUUUUUUUGGGACGGAGCGAGUAGGCCAAUUUGAAAGCGCGAAAGCAUGUGUCGGAGGUGGAGCGUCCUCUUAGAGAGGAGGCAGGUUCUGACGGCAUCGGGGGUGUCGAGGCGGUCCAUGAUGUUGAGCAGGAUGUCAUCAGGUAGCGUGGUGAACCUAUC
rnacentral:sRNA from 1 species